GUGGCUCAGUGCUUUCAUCAAGUUUGACACACCAGAAGAAUGAGACAGGGCUGGAGUCAGAUUUGCCAAAGAUAGGAAUUCUAACUGGGAGCACUUCUGGGCAAUGUUCACAAGAAAACUUGCAUUUCCAGAAGGGAUACUAGCCCAACAAGAUGGCAGUGCAAGAGAUACCAGGGAUGUACAGCAAGACAAUGAACUAAGCAAUGUGUGCCUGUCCAGGGUCAUCUGGGAUUUAUGAUAGCUGACAUUGGCCAAGUUGAGGUGUUUUAACCUGAUCAAAUUUCCAACCUGUAUACAGUAUUAGUAUUUUUAUUAUUAGUUUUAAACAGUUAAUACUUCUAAGAAAAGGGGGUGGUUAUAAGAUUCAGUGAGUGUAUGUAGUUAUCCGUGGUUGAAAGCAGAAAAAUUUGACUAAGGGAGGACAAGCCUUUCUUGUAUGUUAAAAUAAAAACAAACAAACAGGUAGCCAAAAAAACAAAAAAGCUAAUAUCAACACCUGUUGCAACCUCUGUGGCUGAGUUACAAGCGGGGGUUGGGCUGCGCACUCUUUCAAAACAAUUACUAAUGUACUUGUAACGUAUGUUAGGUGUGUAACGCCACGGGGUCACGAUAUACCACAUGAGUUGUAGCACGCUUGCAAGAAGAGAGGUUGAAUAAACAGUGAUUUAG